rnacentral:rRNA from 1 species
AUUGAACGCUGGCGGCAUGCCUUACACAUGCAAGUCGAACGGCAGCACGGGGGCAACCCUGGUGGCGAGUGGCGAACGGGUGAGUAAUGCAUCGGAACGUGCCCAGUAGUGGGGGAUAACUAGUCGAAAGAUUAGCUAAUACCGCAUACGACCUACGGGUGAAAGCGGGGGACCUUUACCGGCCUCGCGCUAUCGGAGCGGCCGAUGUCUGAUUAGCUAGUUGGCGGGGUAAAAGCCCACCAAGGCGACGAUCAGUAGCUGGUCUGAGAGGACGACCAGCCACACUGGGACUGAGACACGGCCCAGACUCCUACGGGAGGCAGCAGUGGGGAAUUUUGGACAAUGGGCGCAAGCCUGAUCCAGCCAUGCCGCGUGCGGGAAGAAGGCCU